UACGUAGGGGGCGAGCGUUGUCCGGAGUUACUGGGCGUAAAGCGCACGCAGGCGGUCUGCUAAGUUUGGAGGGACAGUUGGUGGCUUAACUGCCAAAGUGCUUCGAAAACUGACAGACUUGAGGGCUUCAGAGGGACACGGAAUUCCGGGUGGAGUGGUGAAAUGCGUAGAGAUCCGGAGGAACACCAAAGGCGAAGGCAGUGUCCUGGGGAGUACCUGACGCUCAGGUGCGAAAGCCAGGGGAGCGAACGGG
rnacentral:rRNA from 1 species